rnacentral:rRNA from 1 species
GUGCACGCUGGCGGCGUGCUUAAUACAUGCAAGUCGAACGAUGAAGUCCUAGCUUGCUAGGAUGGAUUAGUGGCGCACGGGUGAGUAAUAUAUAGUUAAUCUGCCUUGCACUGAGGAACAACAGUUGGAAACGAUUGCUAAUACCUCAUACUCCAACUUUACAUAAGUUAAGUUGGGAAAGUCUUUUCGGUGCAAGAUGAGACUAUAUCGUAUCAGCUAGUUGGUAAGGUAAUGGCUUACCAAGGCUAUGACGCGUAACUGGUCUGAGAGGAUGAUCAGUCACAUUGGAACUGAGACACGGUCCAAACUCCUACGGGAGGCAGCAGUAAGGAAUAUUGUGCAAUGGGGGAAACCCUGACGCAGCAACGCCGCGUGGAGGAUGACACUUUUCGGAGCGUAAACUCCUUUUGUUAGGGAAGAAUAAUGACGGUACCUAACGAAUAAGCACCGGCUAACUCCGUG